GAUGAACGCUAGCGGCAGGCCUAAUACAUGCAAGACGAACGGUAAGUUGAGUAGCAAUACUUAGCCAAGAGUGUCGUACGGGUGCGUAACACGUAUGCAACCUACCCUAUACAGGAGGAUAGCCUAGGGAAACCUGGAUUAACCCUUCAUAGUAUUAUUGGAUGGCAUCAUUUGAUAAUUAAAACUGAGGUGGUAUAGGAUGGGCAUGCGUCUGAUUAGUUAGUUGGCGGGGUAAUGGCCCACCAAGACGAUGAUCAGUAGGGGUUCUGAGAGGAAGAUCCCCCACACUGGCACUGAGAUACGGGCCAGACUCCUACGGGAGGCAGCAGUAGGGAAUAUUGGUCAAUGGAUGCAAGUCUGAACCAGCCAUGCCGCGUGCAGGAAGAAGGGCCCUUUCUGGGGUUGUAAACUGCUUUUGCCAGGGGAUAAAAUUUCCAUGCGUGGAAAACUGAAGGUACCUGGUGAAUAAGCCACGGCUAACUACGUGCCAGCAGCCGCGGUAAUC
rnacentral:rRNA from 1 species